AUAAACACAUUCAACGACAGACCUUGGCAAGAACUGCAAAGAUGCUCUUGACAAUGGCAUGAAUAAAUAUUAGGUGUUAUCUAGAAUUCACCGCAUUUGAGGUCUUGUGCAAAGCCAGCUAUACAUUUCAGAAGAUGGAGAAGAGGAAGAAGGAGGUAGAGUCUGGUAGGAGGGCACCAAGGAACAUUUCCUUACUUCACAAUUUGUUGAAAUAUGAGAUGCUGAGUAAUCAAACUUGAAGUACAGUGGAGCAGCUUUGAGAGAACAAGUGGCACAUUGCCUUGAAAUAAUAUUCUCAACGCCAUUUGCUGAGUCUUCUAUGCUCUUGGCCCUUUGCACAACCUUCACUGCACCCUCUAAGGUAAAUAUUAUCUUCAUUUUACAGAUGAGAAAACUGAAACUUACAAAAAUUGUCCGAGGUCACAUACUUAAUAAGUGGUUGAAUGCAGAUUUAAUUCGAGGUCUGCUUGAUUUCAAAGUGAUUAAGUGAGUGAGACAGAGAGAAACAAAGAGAAGAUAGUGGUUUUUAAAGAAUGAAUCUCAAUUUUCUAAAACCCUAUGGCAACU